rnacentral:rRNA from 1 species
CCUACGGGUGGCAGCAGUGAGGAAUAUUGGUCAAUGGACGCAAGGCUGAACCAGCCAAGCAGCGUGCAGGAAGACGGCGCUAUGAGUUGUAAACUUCUUUUGUACAAGGGUAAACGCAGACACGCGUACCUGUCUGAAAGUACCGUAUGAAUAAGGAUCGGCUAACUCCGUGCCAGCAGCCGCGGUAAUACGGAGGAUUCAAGCGUUAUCCGGAUUUAUUGGGUUUAAAGGGUGCGUAGGCGGCCGGAUAAGUUAGAUGUGAAAGCCCGAGGCUCAACUUCGGAAUUGCCUCUGAUACUGUCCGGCUAGAGAGUAGUUGCGGUAGGCGGAAUGUGUGGUGUAGCGGUGAAAUGCUUAGAGAUC